AUUCCCCUAGUAGCGGCGAGCGAAGCGGGAAGAGCUCAAAUUUAUAAUCUGGCACCUUCGGUGUCCGAGUUGUAAUCUCUAGAAGUGUUUUCCGCGUUGGACCGCACACAAGUCUGUUGGAAUACAGCGGCAUAGUGGUGAAACCCCCGUAUAUGGUGCGGACGCCCAGCGCUUUGUGAUACACUUUCAAUGAGUCGAGUUGUUUGGGAAUGCAGCUCAAAUUGGGUGGUAAAUUCCAUCUAAAGCUAAAUAUUGGCGAGAGACCGAUAGCGAACAAGUACCGUGAGGGAAAGAUGAAAAGCACUUUGGAAAGAGAGUUAACAGUACGUGAAAUUGUUGGAAGGGAAACGCUUGAAGUCAGACUUGCUUGCCGGAGCUUGCUUCGGUUUGCAGGCCAGCAUCAGUUUUCCGGGGUGGAUAAUGACGGUUUGAAGGUAGCAGUCUCGGCUGUGUUAUAGCUUUCCGUUGGAUACGCCCUGGGGGACUGAGGAACGCAGCGUGCUUUUUGCGAAAGACUCGUCUUUUUCACGCUUAGGAUGCUGGUGGAAUGGCUUUAAACGACCCGUCUUGAAACACGGACCAAGGAGUCUAACAUGCUCGCGAGUAUUUGGGUGUCAAACCCGGAUGCGCAAUGAAAGUGAAUGUAGGUGGGAACCGCAAGGUGCACCAUCGACCGAUCUGGAUUUUUUAAGAUGGAUUUGAGUAAGAGCGCGUAUGUGGGACCCGAAAGAUGGUGAACUAUGCCUGAAUAGGGCGAAGCCAGAGGAAACUCUGGUGGAGGCUCGUAGCGGUUCUGACGUGCAAAUCGAUCGUCAAAUUUGGGUAUAGGGGCGAAAGACUAAUCGAACCAUCUAGUAGCUGGUC
rnacentral:rRNA from 1 species